GCCGAUGUGGUGAAAUUGGUAGACACGCACGUUUCAGAGGCGUGUGUCGCGAGACAUGCCGGUUCGACUCCGGCCAUCGGCA
rnacentral:tRNA from 1 species